rnacentral:rRNA from 1 species
UUUGGUUUUUUUAGCGCGUUUGGUGGAUGCCUUGGCAUGCUGGGCCGAUGAAGGACGUGGGAGGCUGCGUUAAUCCUCGGGGAGUUGUCAACCGGGCGUUGAUCCGAGGGUGUCCGAAUGGGGAAACCCGG